rnacentral:rRNA from 1 species
AGUGAACGCUGGCGGCAGGCCUAAUACAUGCAAGUCGAACGGCAGCACAGCAGAGCUUGCUCUGUGGGUGGCGAGUGGCGGACGGGUGAGGAAUACAUGGGAAUCUGCCCAGUCGUGGGGGAUAACGUAUGGAAACGUACGCUAAUACCGCAUGCGCCCUUUGGGGGAAAGCCGGGGACCUUCGGGCCUGGCGCGAUUGGAUGAGCCCAUGUUCGAUUGGCUAGUUGGCGGGGUAAAGGCCCACCAAGGCGACGAUCGAUAGCUGGUCUGAGAGGAUGAUCAGCCACACUGGGACUGAGACACGGCCCAGACUCCUACGGGAGGCAGCAGUAGGGAAUAUUGGACAAUGGGCGCAAGCCUGAUCCAGCCAUGCCGCGUGAGUGAAGAAGGCCCUCGGGUUGUAAAGCUCUUUUGUCCGGAAAGAAAAGCAUUCGGUUAAUACCCGGGUGUUCUGACGGUACCGGAAGAAUAAGCACCGGCUAACUUCGUG